rnacentral:rRNA from 1 species
UACGUAGGGUGCAAGCGUUAAUCGGAAUUACUGGGCGUAAAGCGUGCGCAGGCGGUUUUGUAAGUCUGUCGUGAAAUCCCUGGGCUCAACCUAGGAAUUGCGAUGGAGACUGCAAGGCUAGAAUCUGGCAGAGGGGGGUAGAAUUCCACGUGUAGCAGUGAAAAUGCGUAGAGAUGUGGAGGAACACCGAUGGCGAAGGCAGCCCCCUGGGUCAAGAUUGA